rnacentral:rRNA from 1 species
GUGAGGAAUUUUGCGCAAUGGCCGCAAGGCUGACGCAGCAACGCCGCGUGGGUGAAGAAGGCCUUCGGGUCGUAAAGCCCUGUCAGGUGGGAAGAAAGGUUUCGUCAAGAAACGGAUGGAAUUUGACGGUACCACCAGAGGAAGCACCGGCUAACUCCGUGCCAGCAGCCGCGGUAAUACGGAGGGUGCGAGCGUUAUUCGGAAUUAUUGGGCGUAAAGCGCGAGUAGGCGGGGAUGCAAGUCUGAUGUGAAAGCCCUGGGCUUAACCUGGGAAGUGCAUUGGAAACUGCAUUUCUUGAGUACUGGAGAGGAAGGGGGAAUUCCCGGUGUAGAGGUGAAAUUCGUAGAGAUCGGGAGGAAUACCAGUGGCGUAGGCGCCUUUCUGGACGGUUACUGACGCUGAGACGCGAAAGCGUGGGGAGCAAACAGGAUUAGAAACCCCUGUAGUCC